AGGUUGUGAUCACCGUGUGUGACCUGACCUCUGCAAUGAGUGGCCAAAGGAAAAGGGGAGAAUAUGUAAUCUGACAGCAGAGACAUGAGUGUCCCAAGUCACCUCCUCUGUGUGGUUAGGCCGCAUUUGUUCAAGAUGAGCAGACCUGCUCUGCGCUCCCACCCCUGGGUCUCCUCCUCCUCACAGAGCGCCACACGUCGGGUGUCUAAGACAUGUGUGUUCAAAAGCCGUUAGAGCUGCCUUCAGGGAGUUGCAAGCCAGAGAUACUCCGUGCCUGAGGACCAUGGGUGGACAUGACUCUGCUGUCCUUGAGGAAGAUACUCACUGCUGCGUGUAGUUUCUGGCACGGAAUGCUGAAAAGCACAGAAAGACCUGAGGAAGCCACAGGCGAAGGGCAGACUGCCCUGUGCGCUCUGAUACAGAACAGCCCAAGCUGGGGGGCAGAGAGUGGACUCGGGGCCGUGAGCAUGCUAAGCAUGCACCCUGGGCUGGGCUACGGCUUCUGUUCUCUCCUCAUAUGACUUUUUACAAUCUUAAGAUAAGGAGCUCACUAAACUGCCCAGGCUGGCCUUGAACUUGUAGUCCUCCUGCUUCGGCCCCCAGAACACUAAGGUUACAGGCAUGUACCACUAUAAGUGGCCUUGACAGUUGUCUUGAUCAUGAGAGAACGGGUGUGGACUUCCCUUUGUUCUGAAAAGCCACACACCUCGGUAGAAGACAUGAACCUUUUGCAUGGUGGACAGCAGGCCGGAGGCUGUGAUUCCUGACAGAGGGAGCCCAUCCUUUGUGCAGGACAAAGAUCGGCUGAGACCUGGCUCUCAGCCCAAGUGGCCCUCAGCCCUUCUGAGGCCGCUAAUGAGAGGUGUCAGCCAGUAGCUCUUCACGAGAGCCCCGCUGCCCUGAGCAAUUUCUUAAAAGAAGAAUUCUAACCUCGAGGAGUCCUUUGAACACGUCGUGAAUGAGCAAUGAACACAGCCGGGGCAGCUUCUCAGAAUUACCGCGGGCUGCAGAUUCGUGAAAAGAGAGAUUGAUUUCCAUUUGGUCUACUGAAUACAUUUCCCGUGUUCUCCAGGUGUUUGUCAUGCCGUGUACUAAAGGUGAGGUGGGAUCCUUCGCUAACAAAUUAUGGUCAUUGGUAUUCUCCCUCACUCUUCCAUACCCCCGGCCCAAGAAUUUAUGCAUUUUCCAGACAAAACGUGCUUCCACGGACAGCGCUGGCGUCGUCUUCACGGCAGUCAAGUAUCGAUGGUAUUGAUUGCGCUGUCCCCGCAUACACAGGCGGAUGGAUGCCCACAGCCCCCGAGUGAUGUGCAGCUCCUUGUGGGGACCUGGCCCCGACCUUCAGCUUUCUCUGCUGCUCCUAGCUCACUGUACCCAGCCCCAAGCCCAUCCCAAGACCAACCACUCAGGUAUCGUCCAGUAUGUCUGCCUCAGGCUGGUUCCUUAUCUAACCCCCUCCCUACCACUCACUACACAUUCGGGAGAACUGCUGACCAGAUGGCCUAGGCCUGCAUAAGGCGUUCGCCGUGUAGACAUUUGAUGUGUACAUGGACGAGUUAUCGAGUGUGUGAAUGAAUGGGUGUGUACUCUGGUGGAGAAUGAGGAAUGACACAGGUAGCCUCAGUUCUCUGGAGAUGGCCAUUGGAUUGGAAUCUGGGUCUUAGAUCCCUCCAGGACCCCCAGACACUGGCCAGUUAGAAGCCGGAGUCACCCCACCCCUAUGCACCCCAGAGGAAGCACCGUGACACCCCUGGAGCCAGGCUGAUCAAAGCCACCUAGCCUCUUGCACAACAGCACCCUGCGGCCUCAGGGCUCGGGAGGCAAAUUUACAAGGAACUUCCUGAAUUGCUUUCUUUUCUGUUUUAUGAAAUACCUCUCUAAAUGUCUGCAUAUAGCUCUCUUGAGGGAUGGAGGGAGAAAAAUAGCAAUUAAAGUCUUGUCAUCAGA
rnacentral:sRNA from 1 species